rfam:Myotis brandtii contig272902, whole genome shotgun sequence.
CUUGGGGAGGGGGGGUCCCUCAGUCUGGAUUGUGAGAGGGUGCAGGCCAGGCCAAGGGACCCCACCAGUGCACA